CCGGCCCUACGGGGGGCAGCAGUGAGGAAUAUUGGUCAAUGGCCGCAGGGCUGAACCAGCCAAGUCGCGUGAGGGAUGACGGUCCUAUGGAUUGUAAACCUCUUUUGUCAGGGAGCAAAGGGCGCCACGUGUGGCGCUUUGCGAGUACCUGAAGAAAAAGCAUCGGCUAACUCCGUGCCAGCAGCCGCGGUAAUACGUAGGUGGCAAGCGUUAUCCGGAUUUAUUGGGUGUAAAGGGCGUGUAGGCGGGAAUGCAAGUCAGAUGUGAAAACUAUGGGCUCAACCCAUAGCCUGCAUUUGAAACUG
rnacentral:rRNA from 1 species